rnacentral:lncRNA from 1 species
ACAGGGGAGAGUUACCUGUUGCUGUGGGAGCAAUGAGGAGUUAUGGAGGAAAGGAGAGGUACCAAGACCAGACCAAAUCCCUGAUGGCUGGUGUGGCCAGGCAUGUAGUGGAGGCUGGCCCUGGAGAGAAGAGGAACAGAAACUGAUUUUAAUCUCAAGGGGCUGAAGCUGGAGCUCCACAUGUGACCCCCAGAAGCACGGGACCCCAUCCGGGACGCCGCUGUGCAUGCAGCUGUCACAUCUCCCUGGACCCCCCUCUGCUGGCAGUUUCUCAGAUUUUCCUUGUUUUCGAUGACUGGGAUAGUUUUGAAGAGUAAUGGUCAGGCAUGCUGUAGAAUUUCUCUCAGUUGGGGUUUUUCUGAUGAUCUGAUUGGGAUUAUGGAAUUUGGGGAAGAAGACCAUAGAAGUAAAGUGCUAUUUUUAUUA